GGGCGAUUAGCUCAGUUGGUAGAGCACUGUGUUCACAUCGCAGGGGUCACUGGUUCGAGUCCAGUAUCGCCCACCA
rnacentral:tRNA from 8 species